AAGUUUAAACUUUUAUUAGAA
rnacentral:tRNA from 1 species